UACAGGGGGGGCAAGCGUUGUUCGGAAUUACUGGGCGUAAAGGGCCCGUAGGCGGCCAACUAAGUCCGACGUGAAAUCCCCAAGCUUAACUUGGGAACUGCGUCGGAUACUGGAUGGCUUGAAUUCGGGAGAGGGAUGCAGAAUUCCAGGUGUAGCGGUGAAAUGCGUAGAUAUCUGGAGGAACACCUGAGGUGAAGACGGGUUGCUGGUCUAACACUGACGCUGAGGCGCGAAAGCCAGGGGAGCAAACGGG
rnacentral:rRNA from 1 species